rnacentral:rRNA from 2 species
ACGGGAGGCAGCAGUGAGGAAUAUUGGUCAAUGGCCGGAAGGCUGAACCAGCCAUGCCGCGUGAAGGAAUACGGUCCUACGGAUUGUAAACUUCUUUUGCACGGGAGCAAUAAGUCGCAUUAGUGCGGCGAUGAGAGUACCGUGCGAAUAAGCAUCGGCUAACUCCGUGCCAGCAGCCGCGGUAAUACGGAGGAUGCAAGCGUUAUCCGGAUUUAUUGGGUUUAAAGGGUGCGUAGGCUGCGGGUCAAGUCAGCGGUGAAAUGUCCCCGCCCAACGGGGGAACUGCCGUUGAAACUGUCCCGCUGGAAUUCGGAUGCCGUGGGAGGAAUGUGUGGUGUAGCGGUGAAAUGCAUAGAUAUCACACAGAACACCGAUUGCGAAGGCAUCUCACGAAUCCGACAUUGACGCUGAGGCACGAAAGUGUGGGUAUCGAACAGGAUUAGAUACCCUGGUA